UCCUUCAAAGAUUAGCAUAGUAGCCUUCAUUCUACAAUUAUGCCUAGGCCCACAUCUUUCAUCACAAUAAAAACAAAUGCCCUUUUCUCUAUGAUCUUGAAUCUCACUUGUAGAUGGACUCUUCACAGGAAUAGCAACAUAAUUUGUAGGUUUAGACUUUGAAAUGAUUGAACUAGAAUUCUCAUCUUGAUUCUUUCAAGAAAACUCCUACGAGUAAUCUUUUUUUCUUGAGCUCUAGCCAUGUUCAUAGCCUCAAACAAUCUCUGAGGUAUUGAACAACAAUUCCUCCUUGAUUUUUGGUUUUCACCCUGCUAUAUACAAGGUUACCAAAGUAUCCUCAUCAAAAUCAAAAAUAGAUGACAUCAAUUUCUCAAAUCGAGCAUUAUAAUUAGCAACUAAAAAGCUCUAAGAUAAUCUUGCUAAUGCCACCUUUGGAUUGUCAAAUGAAGUUGGACCAAAAUGAUUCUUGAUUCCUUGCUCAAAAUCGUACCAAGAACCAACCAAAUGGGCACCAAAAAUCCAUUGAUACCAAUAAGAGGCAGGCCCUUGA
rnacentral:lncRNA from 1 species